AACAGGAUUAGAUACCCUGGUAGUCCACGCUGUAAACGAUGUCGACUUGGAGGUUGUGCCCUUGAGGCGUGGCUUCCGGAGCUAACGCGUUAAGUCGACCGCCUGGGGAGUACGGCCGCAAGGUUAAAACUCAAAUGAAUUGACGGGGGCCCGCACAAGCGGUGGAGCAUGUGGUUUAAUUCGAUGCAACGCGAAGAACCUUACCUACUCUUGACAUCCAGAGAAUUUGCUAGAGAUAGCUUAGUGCCUUCGGGAACUCUGAGACAGGUGCUGCAUGGCUGUCGUCAGCUCGUGUUGUGAAAUGUUGGGUUAAGUCCCGCAACGAGCGCAACCCUUAUCCUUUGUUGCCAGUACGUAAUGGUGGGAACUCAAAGGAGACUGCCGGUGAUAAACCGGAGGAAGGUGGGGAUGACGUCAAGUCAUCAUGGCCCUUACGAGUAGGGCUACACACGUGCUACAAUGGCAUAUACAAAGAGAAGCGAACUCGCGAGAGCAAGCGGACCUCAUAAAGUAUGUCGUAGUCCGGAUUGGAGUCUGCAACUCGACUCCAUGAAGUCGGAAUCGCUAGUAAUCGUAGAUCAGAAUGCUACGGUGAAUACGUUCCCGGGCCUUGUACACACCGCCCGUCACACCAUGGGAGUGGGUUGCAAAAGAAGUAGGUAGCUUAACCUUCGGGAGGGCGCUUACCACUUUGUGAUUCAUGACUGGGGUGAAGUCGUAACAAGGUAACC
rnacentral:rRNA from 1 species